rnacentral:rRNA from 1 species
GAUGAACGCUGGCGGCGUGCCUAAUACAUGCAAGUCGAGCGAACAGACGAGGAGCUUGCUCCUCUGACGUUAGCGGCGGACGGGUGAGUAACACGUGGAUAACCUACCUAUAAGACUGGGAUAACUUCGGGAAACCGGAGCUAAUACCGGAUAAUAUAUUGAACCGCAUGGUUCAAUAGUGAAAGACGGUUUUGCUGUCACUUAUAGAUGGAUCCGCGCCGCAUUAGCUAGUUGGUAAGGUAACGGCUUACCAAGGCGACGAUGCGUAGCCGACCUGAGAGGGUGAUCGGCCACACUGGAACUGAGACACGGUCCAGACGCCUACGGGAGGCAGCAGUAGGGAAUCGUCCGCAACGGGCGAAAGCCUGACGGAGCAACGCCGCGUGAGUGAUGAAGGUCUUCGGAUCGUAAAACUCUGUUAUUAGGGAAGAACAAAUGUGUAAGUAACUAUGCACGUCUUGACGGUACCUAAUCAGAAAGCCACGGCUAACUACGUG